rnacentral:rRNA from 1 species
GAUGAACGCUGGCGGCGUGCUUAACACAUGCGAGUCGAACGAUGAAGCUCAGCUUGCUGGGUGGAUUAGUGGCGAACGGGUGAGUAACACGUGAGUAACCUGCCCUUAACUCUGGGAUAAGCCUGGGAAACUAGGUCUAAUACCGGAUAGGAGCGUCCACCGCAUGGUGGGUGUUGGAAAGAUUUAUCGGUUUUGGAUGGACUCGCGGCCUAUCAGCUUGUUGGUGAGGUAAUGGCUCACCAAGGCGACGACGGGUAGCCGGCCUGAGAGGGUGACCGGCCACACUGGGACUGAGACACGGCCCAGACUCCUACGGGAGGCAGCAGUGGGGAAUAUUGCACAAUGGGCGAAAGCCUGAUGCAGCGACGCCGCGUGAGGGAUGACGGCCUUCGGGUUGUAAACCUCGUUCAGUAGGGAAGAAGCGAAAGUGACGGUACCUGCAGAAGAAGCACCGGCUAACUACGUG